AGUUUAAAUAAAGGCUUUAAAUGUUGUUUUUCUUGUUUUAGAGAAACGCAAAUAUAGUCUUUAUUUUGGGAUUUCUAUUAAAAGGAACAGAAAAAGUAUAAUUAUUAUUAUAAAACAACAUUUUCCGCAUUUAUUACAAACAAAAAUAAAAUAAAAAAGAUGGAUAAAUUAAGAUUUGAUUUCGCUGUCAAGACAGCAGCAGAUGGAAAAUCCAAUAUCUUAUGCAUAACCUCAAUAGGUACACCUGAUGGUCGAGUUUUUGAAAUACCAGCCGAAUACCAACCUACAAGUCUACAUAAAGAAAUUAC